CCUACGGGAGGCUGCAGUGGGGAAUAUUGCACAAUGGGCGCAAGCCUGAUGCAGCCAUGCCGCGUGUGUGAAGAAGGCCUUCGGGUUGUAAAGCACUUUCAGCGGGGAGGAAGGCGUUAAGGUUAAUAACCUUGUCGAUUGACGUUACCCGCAGAAGAAGCACCGGCUAACUCCGUGCCAGCAGCCGCGGUAAUACGGAGGGUGCAAGCGUUAAUCGGAAUUACUGGGCGUAAAGCGCACGCAGGCGGUCUGUCAAGUCGGAUGUGAAAUCCCCGGCCUCAACCUGGGAACUCCAUUCGAAACUGGCAGGCUAGAGUCUUGUAGAGGGGGGUAGAAUUCCAGGUGUAGCGGUGAAAUGCGUAGAGAUCUGGAGGAAUACCGGUGGCGAAGGCGGCCCCCUGGACAAAGACUGACGCUCAGGUGCGAAAGCGUGGGGAGCAAACAGGAUUAGAUACCCGGGUAGUC
rnacentral:rRNA from 1 species